CCGUGUACGAAGCUGAUCAGGGUUCCCCAUCAUGUCCUGGACUUUGCUCUGCCUCAUACUCCUCACUUACUCCCCAGGUUCCUGGGCCCAGUAUGUGCUGACCCAGCCGUCAUCCGUGUCUGUCGCUCCACAACAAAAUGCCCAAAUCACUUGUUCAGGGAAUAGCAUCGGGGGCAAGUAUGUGCACUGGUACCAGCAGAAACCCGGAAAGGCCCCCGUACUCAUCAUAUACAAUGACAGAAACAGGCCCUCGGGGAUUUCAGACCGAUUCUCUGGCACCAGCUCUGGCAACACAGCCACGCUCACCAUCGCCAGGGCCCAGGCGCAGGAUGAGGCUGAUUAUUACUGCCAGGUGUGGGACGGCAGCAUGGCUCACAGUGAUACAGGCAGAGGAGGAAGUGAGACAAAAACCUCCUGUCAGAAAAUAGUUAGUGUCAAGGACAAGUUGGUGCUUCUUACCCAGUUCCUUUCUUCUGUGAUGAGAAAUUGA